rnacentral:rRNA from 1 species
AGAGUUGAUCCUGGCUUAGGAUUAACGCUGGCGGCGUGCCUAAUACAUGCAAGUCGAAUGGUAGUAGCAAUACAAACCAUGGCGAACGGGUGAGUAACGCGUAGGCAACCUGACUUUAAGACGAGGAUAACCGUUGGAAACGACGGAUAAUACUGGAUAGGACAUCAGUAAGGGCAUCCUUAGAUGUUUAAAGGUUAUUAUGCCACUUAGAGAGGGGGCCUGCGGCGCAUUAGCUAGUUGGUGAGAUAACAGCCCACCAAGGCGAUGAUGCGUAGCCGGACUGAGAGGUUGAACGGCCACAAUGGAACUGAGAACGGUCCAUACUCCUACGGGAGGCAGCAGUAGGGAAUUUUCGGCAAUGGGCGCAAGCCUGACCGAAGCAACGCCGCGUGAACGAAGAAGUUAUUCGUAAUGUAAAGUUCUUUUAUCUGGGAAGAAAAACAAAUUGACGGUACCAGAUGAAUAAGCUCCGGCUAACUACGUGCCAGCAGCAGC